GCACCUACCGAUUGAAUGGUUCGGUGAGAAUCUCGGACUGCGGCUUGGAUGCCUUCGGGCAACCAAGCUGCGGAAAGUUGUUUAAACCUCAUCAUUUAGAGGAAGGUGAAGUCGUAACAAGGUUUCCGUAGGUGAACCUGCAGAAGGAUCAAGAACGGAAGAGCACACGGCUGAACUCUCGUCACGCGGCCGUACUUCGCAUGCCUGCUUCCGCCUGAUAAAAAAAAACAACGCUCACACCCUACGUAUUACCGCGACUGCUAGCACGUAGUUUUCC
rnacentral:misc_RNA from 1 species